rnacentral:rRNA from 1 species
GACGAACGCUGGCGGCGUGCUUAACACAUGCAAGUCGAACGGAAAGGCCUGCUUUCCCUUGUGGAUUGCGGGUACUCGAGUGGCGAACGGGUGAGUAACACGUGAGUGAUCUGCCCCCAACUUGGGUAUAAGCCUGGGAAACUGGGUCUAAUUCCCGAUAGGACUGCAGGGUGGUGCCUGUGGUGGAAAACGAUUUUCUAGUGGUUGGGGAUGAGCUCGCGGCCUAUCAGCUUGUUGGUGGGGUAAUGGCCUACCAAGGCGGCGACGGGUAGCCGGCCUGGGAGGGGGGACGGCCACAUUGGGACUGAGAUACGGCCCAGACUCCUACGGGAGGCAGCAGUGGGGAAUAUUGGACAAUGGGCGGAAGCCUGAUGCAGCGACGCCGCGUGGGGGAUGACGGCCUUCGGGUUGUAAACUCCUUUCGACCGCGAGGAAGCCACCUGGUUGGAAGGGUGGUGACGGUAGUGGUAGAAGAAGCACCGGCUAACUACGUG